rnacentral:rRNA from 1 species
CCUACGGGAGGCUGCAGUGGGGAAUAUUGCACAAUGGGGGAAACCCUGAUGCAGCAACGCCGCGUGAGUGAAGAAGUAUUUCGGUAUGUAAAGCUCUAUCAGCAGGGAAGAAAAUGACAGUACCUGACUAAGCAGCCCCGUCUAACUACGUGCCAGCAGCCGCGGCAAUACGGAGGGUGCAAGCGUUAUCCGGAUUUACUGGGUGUAAGGGGAGCGUAGACGGCUGCGCAAGUCAGAAGUGAAAGGCCGGGGCUCAACCGCGGGACUGCUUUUGAAACUGUGUAGCUAGAGUGCAGGAGAGGUAAGUGGAAUUCCUAGUGUAGCGGUGAAAUGCGUAGAUAUUAGGAGGAACACCGGUGGCGAAGGCGGCUUACUGGACUGUAACUGACGUUGAGGCUCGAAAGCGUGGGGAGCAAACAGGAUUAGAUACCCCUGUAGUC